AGUCAACGGGGGGACCGCUUGGAGGGAAGGGAUGUGCGGAUGCUGCUGGCCACUUGGGGAGGCAGCUGGGGUGUCGUCUCAGCAGCCUGCACUAAUGGCGAGGAAAGGCAGAAAUGACAAAACGAUGUACUAACUGCCGUCCGCAGAGCAGCGCUGUGUAAAUGAACCAAUAAGGAAAACAUGUGAAGCAGAAAUGAGAGGAGGUGUUUUUCCUAAAUGCUGCUGACAGUCCAAAAUAUAAAGGAAAUUUGAGGUUCCUCUUCUGUGUUUCCAGCUCCCCAAUAUCCUUGUGGGUUUUUCCAAGCCUUGUAGUAGGAAGCCUAGAAAAUGCUCUUUCUAGUUCUUGGAUGAUGAUUUAAGAGAGGAAAA
rnacentral:lncRNA from 1 species